rnacentral:rRNA from 1 species
CACGUAGGGCGCAAGCGUUGUCCGGAAUUAUUGGGCGUAAAGAGCUCGUAGGCGGCUUGUCGCGUCGGCUGUGAAAACCCGCGGCUCAACUGUGGGCGGGCAGCUGAUACGGGCAGGCUGGAGUUCGGUAGGGGAGACUGGAAUUCCUGGUGUAGCGGUGAAAUGCGCAGAUAUCAGGAGGAACACCGGUGGCGAAGGCGGGUCUCUGGGCCGAUACUGACGCUGAGGAGCGAAAGCGUGGGGAGCGAACAGG